UUAGUCAAAUUUUUAGCCUGAUUUCCAUCUAACUGAUCACUUUCAUAAUCUGCUUAUCUUGGCAGGUAAUAUUUAUAGGAGCUCUUUCCAAAGAGGGAAGAGGCAUAGGAGGAAAAAUAAGAAUGAAAAUGAACUGUAUAUGCUCUCAUGUUGGAUAUUCUGCAUUCCAAACUACUCAGGCUCACUUCAUGGGAAGAACGCCAAGGUCUAACAGUGAGUGACAUACUAUCAGCAGACCACCACUGAGAGAAGACUCGGGGGGAUGUAUUCACAAGGUCUGAGUUUUGUAAGUGAAUGUAAUUAUUUGUGAUCCAUCUCUUAUUCACAAAACAAAACAAUUAACUUUCUUUUUUUUCUCUAUGUUUGUCUCAAUUUCCCACCUCUGAGUUCCCAAGUUUUGGGGAUGAGCAUUUGCUGAGGACAUGGCACUUCAAGUUUCAUAAACUGGGCAGAAGAUGGCAGUACAUGAAGUCUUAGUAAAGACCUGUUAUGAUGCUACAGUCUCAUUAGCUUUAUUUGUUCAAAGAAACAAAUAGAUGAUCCAUUCCAAACUGAAAUUCUUUAUUAUUAUUUAUUACUAUCCACUGUUAUUAUUUAUUAUUACCUGAGCUGAGAAUAAUUACUUGAAUAUAUGAAGGUCCAAAGUC